rnacentral:rRNA from 1 species
CCGGAAAAAGAGGAGUGGCGAACGGGUGAGUAACACGUGGGUAACCUGCCCAUCAGAAGGGGAUAACACUUGGAAACAGGUGCUAAUACCGUAUAACAAUCAAAACCGCAUGGUUUUGAUUUGAAAGGCGCUUUCGGGUGUCGCUGAUGGAUGGACCCGCGGUGCAUUAGCUAGUUGGUGAGGUAACGGCUCACCAAGGCCACGAUGCAUAGCCGACCUGAGAGGGUGAUCGGCCACAUUGGGACUGAGACACGGCCCAAACUCCUACGGGAGGCAGCAGUAGGGAAUCUUCGGCAAUGGACGAAAGUCUGACCGAGCAACGCCGCGUGAGUGAAGAAGGUUUUCGGAUCGUAAAACUCUGUUGUUAGAGAAGAACAAGGAUGAGAGUAACUGUUCAUCCCUUGACGGUAUCUAACCAGAAAGCCACGGCUAACUACGUGCCAGCAGCCGCGGUAAUACGUAGGUGGCAAGCGUUGUCCGGAUUUAUUGGGCGUAAAGCGAGCGCAGGCGGUUUCUUAAGUCUGAUGUGAAAGCCCCCGGCUCAACCGGGGAGGGUCAUUGGAAACUGGGAGACUUGAGUGCAGAAGAGGAGAGUGGAAUUCCAUGUGUAGCGGUGAAAUGCGUAGAUAUAUGGAGGAACACCAGUGGCGAAGGCGGCUCUCUGGUCUGUAACUGACGCUGAGGCUCGAAAGCGUGGGGAGCAAACAGGAUUAGAUACC